UGCCUGCAUGUUUCUUUUUUACCCAAACUGAGAGUCUUUGUUUAUAAUUGGGGGAAUUCAAACUUGUCACACAAAUUGUGAUCACUUUAUGUGAAAUUACUCCUACAGAGAAAAUCCCAAGCCGAAGAAACUAACUGCCUCAUUUCAACUAGUAAAUGGGCAGAGUUGGUAGCUCUCCUGAGCCUGUGCAUGGAGACUGGAAGGGAGUCACACCUGCUUCCAAGCCUGAGACCGGGCUGGCCAGGUCAGAUAGAGUGAGAGGUUCUUUGCCCUUCUCUCUGGAAUGCGGUCCCCUGGCUUCCUCUGAAGACCAAGCAAAGACCAGUCCCCCGCCUGGAGUAGGCUCUUCUUCAACUAACCGGUGAAGUUGUACAACCUGGGUUCAUGUCCCGACUUGGACACUUACUACAUGUGUAACUUCGGCAGGGCGUGAGCUGGGCUGGCCCAAGGAGGGGCAUCAGCCAGGCCUUUGAACUCUGAGGUGGAAAGCAGCACU